rnacentral:lncRNA from 1 species
CUCAUUUUCUCUUGCUGCUACCAUGGAAGAAGCGACUUUCGCCUCCCGCCGUGAUUCUGAGGCCUUUCCAGCCAUGUCAAACUCAAAAUGUGACUGAAAAACAGAAGCAUUUGGAAUACGUAACAGAAGUCAUUAAAAAGAGCCAUGUAAUAUGUGCCUGCUUCCCCUUCUGCCAUGAUUGUAAGUUUCCUGAUGCCUUCUCAGCCAUGCAGAACUAGUCUCACUCUAUUGCUCAGGCUGGAGUCAGUGGCGCAAUCUCAGCUCACUCCAACCUCCGCCUCAUGGGUUCAAAUGAUUCUCCUGCCUCAGCCUCCCAAGUAGAUGGGAUUACAGGCACAUGCCCCCAUGCCCAGCUAAUUUUUGUGUUUUUAGUAGAGACUAGGGUUUCACCAUGUUAGCCAGGCUGUUCUCAGACUCCUGACCUCAGGUGAUCCACCUGCCUCGGCCUUCCAAAGUGCUGGGAUUACAGGCAUGAGCCACUGCACCAAGCCUUAUUCUAUUGAUUAUUAUAAGAAGUGUUAACAUCUUGAACUAUGAUUAUAUAUUCAUCAAUUUAAGCAUAUACAUUUGAUUUUGUUAAGUCCUCCUGAAGAAGUCUGUUUAUAAUAUUAAAUAUCCUAGUUGAUCACUGUUUUAAAAUUUACUUUUUUAUAUAUUUUUUUUCACUUAAUGUAACUCUGAUCAAUGCUACUUCAGUAUGCCUGGAAGUGGAAAUUACAAUGUGGAUAUUUUUAAUGAGGAAAAAACUGGCUUUUAAUUUUCAAGUGAGUCUUAUGUACUCCCCCACAUAUUUAGACAUAUAUGUAUGUGUGCACGUGUGCCUAUAUAUACUUAUAUACUUCAUAUAUAUAUACACACACACAUAUAUGUGAAGAGAGAGAGAAUAUGUAUACACACAUACCACAUUUAGCAAGUUUUUAAGUACUUUAGGUGUCGAGCUGUGAAUGAGAAAAAAGAGCAGGGAAUUCAAAUAAAAAUAAUGUGGACUUAAUAUAAUUACUGGUAAUCUUAGAUUUUGUUUCUAUUUACUGUUGAAUUUUAGGUAAAAAUUCAGAAUAUCUUAGAAUAGCUCAUCAAAUUUCCAGUCCAUGAUAUAACCCAGCCCCAUCCCAUAGAACAUGAUACACUGAUUUUUACAUAUUAUAGUUCUUUUAUAUAUUUAGUGAGAAGCAUUAUUUAUCAAUUUUCUUUAAUGUCUUAUUGUAUUGUGUAUUAUAUAAAUAAUUCUAUCAGUAUAUUCCUGUUUAAAAAUGAUUUUUGUAAGGCUUCACUAAGUUGAAAUUUCCAGACAAAGAAAAAGUUGUACCGUCCCUUUUUUCCUUUAACGGAAUCAAGUAAAUCUGAAUGUGUUAGUGGUCUACAUUUCCACUGAGGAUAAUUGACAGACACUGAGGUCUCUCCUUUUAAGUAACUGUCAAAGAGUAUCCUAAGAGGCUCUAGGGAAUAUGGUAAGCGAUUGCUAAUGAUGUUUAUGUGUCUAAAUAUCAUCCUAACAAUGUAACACUCUCCCAUUAACAAAAUUGUUUCUACAAUUACCAUCAACAUUAUUCCAAUAAAUGUAAUCUUGUUAUUUCAUU